CUUUGACAACUCUAGAGAUAGAGUCUUCCCCUUCGGGGGACAAAGUGACAGGUGGUGCAUGGUUGUCGUCAGCUCGUGUCGUGAGAUGUUGGGUUAAGUCCCGCAACGAGCGCAACCCUUAAGCUUAGUUGCCAGCAUUAAGUUGGGCACUCUAAGUUGACUGCCGGUGACAAACCGGAGGAAGGUGGGGAUGACGUCAAAUCAUCAUGCCCCUUAUGAUUUGGGCUACACACGUGCUACAAUGGACAAUACAAAGGGCAGCUAAACCGCGAGGUCAUGCAAAUCCCAUAAAGUUGUUCUCAGUUCGGAUUGUAGUCUGCAACUCGACUACAUGAAGCUGGAAUCGCUAGUAAUCGUAGAUCAGCAUGCUACGGUGAAUACGUUCCCGGGUCUUGUACACACCGCCCGUCACACCACGAGAGUCUGUAACACCCGAAGCCGGUGGAGUAACCAUUUAUGGAGCUAGCCGUCGAAGGUGGGACAAAUGAUUGGGGUGAAGUCGUAACAAGGUAGCCGUAUCGGAAGG
rnacentral:rRNA from 1 species